rnacentral:rRNA from 1 species
CACGAAUGGGGCAAGCGUUGUUCGGAAUCACUGGGCUUAAAGCGUGCGUAGGCGGACCAACAGGUCAGGAGUGAAAUCCCCGGGCUCAACCCGGGAAUUGCUUUUGAAACUGUCGGUCUAGAAUCCUGGAGAGGUUAGGAGAAUUCCGAGUGUAGAGGUGAAAUUCGCAGAUAUUCGGAGGAAUACCAGUGGCGUAGGCGCCUAACUGGACGGGCAUUGACGCUGAGGCACGAAAGCGUGGGUAGCAAACAGG